AGUGGGAUAGUUGGGUCAAAUGGUAGCUCCAUUCCAGGUUUUUCAAGGAAUCUCCAUAUUGCUUUCCAGAUAGGCUGCACCAAUUUGCAGUCCCACCAGCAAU
rnacentral:pre_miRNA from 1 species